AACGAACGCUGGCGGCAUGCCUAACACAUGCAAGUCGAACGAGACCUUCGGGUCUAGUGGCGCACGGGUGCGUAACGCGUGGGAAUCUGCCCUCUGGUACGGAAUAACUCAGGGAAACUUGAGCUAAUACCGUAUAAUGACUUCGGUCCAAAGAUUUAUCGCCUGAGGAUGAGCCGGCGUCGGAUUAGCUAGUUGGUGAGGUAAAGGCUCACCAAGGCGACGAUCCGUAGCUGGUCUGAGAGGAUGAUCAGCCACACUGGGACCGAGACACGGCCCAGACUCCUGCGGGAGGCACCAGUGGGGAAUAUUGGACAAUGGGCGAAAGCCUGAUCCAGCAAUGCCGCGUGAGUGAUGAAGGCCUUAGGGUUGUAAAGCUCUUUUCCCCGGGAUGAUAAUGACAGUACCGGGAGAAUAAGCCCCGGCUAACUCCGUGCCAGCCGCCGCCGUAA
rnacentral:rRNA from 1 species